rnacentral:lncRNA from 1 species
AAGAAAAGGUUCUUCUUUUUUUUCUCUUUUCAGUUCCUUUCCGAUUGCUUUUCUUUUUUGUUUUUCUGUUCGCUAUUAAUCAUGUAUAGGCACAUUUAUAAAAUAAAAGGGGAAAGGGUUUAGAAACAUUACCUGGUCCGGUGCGUCGCCGAAUCCCCAUCCGUUCAAGAUUGAAUAGGCGAGGGGGGAGGCUUUCGUUGCUAAAGCGGCGUAGAGGGUUGAAGUCUGGUGUCCGUGUGUCAACAGACUGGUUUUAGGGUUAGGAGGGGUCUUUUAUAGUGCGGAAAACGACAUUGUUUAGGGCCUGUUUCAGUGGCCCUAAAACGGCGCCGUAUCGGUCGAUUAACCCCAGCAACCCGCACUGUGACCCGACCCGGGGGAAGGAUCCGCGCGCUUUGGGUCUGAUGGGAUUAUUGCGCAAUGAACCCCUCCACAUUUGCUUUCAUUUUAUUCGAUUUUUAUUCAUUUUUUAAUUGUUACCUCAUAUUUAGUUCCCAAUUUCAAUUAGAUCCAUGUUUGAACGGCGUCGUUUUCAUUGAUUGGGUUUGAAGGCCUGGUUUUGUGUGUCUAAAUUGCAGCAAUGGUCCCUCUGAUGUGUAAUGGUUCUCGAUUUGGUUGUCUUCACACUUAUUUCAAAGACGUCCCUGAGAUUUUGUUUUAUCUUUGAAAUUGUCAUUGUCUUCUUUUAAUUUAUAAUGCUAUUGUUGUUAUUAUUAUUAUUGUUAUUAUUACUAUUAUUAAUAUAGGUAUUGUUAUCGUGUUG